GGGCUCCUACGGGGCGCAGCAGUGAGGAAUAUUGGUAAAUGGCCGAGAGGCUGAACCAGCCAAGUCGCGUGAGGGAUGACGGCCCUACGGGUUGUAAACCUCUUUUGUCGGGGAACAAAGGCGGAGACGCGUCUCCGGAUGAGUGUACCCGAAGAAAAAGCAUCGGCUAACUCCGUGCCAGCAGCCGCGGUAAUACGGAGGAUGCGAGCGUUAUCCGGAUUUAUUGGGUUUAAAGGGUGCGCAGGCGGGAGAUCAAGUCAGCGGUAAAAUGUCGGGGCUCAACCCCGGACGGCCGUUGAAACUGG
rnacentral:rRNA from 1 species